rfam:Oryza punctata chromosome 7, whole genome shotgun sequence.
AAAAAACACAGUUUUAUGUUUUUUUUCUAACGUUUGAUCGAUUGUCUUAUUUGAAAUUUUUUUAUAAUUGGUACUUUUUAUUAUUAUUUGAUGAUAAAACAUGAGUAAUAAUUUAAGCGUGACUAAUUUUUGUUAAUAUUUUUAUAAAUUUUUCAAAUAAGACGGAUGAUCAAUGUAGAUACGUAAAUCCACAACUACACUUAAA